UACAGAGGGGGCCAGCGUUAAUUCGGAAUUAUUGGCGUAAAGGGCGCGUAGGCGGCUUGCGUGUCUUCGUGAAAUCCCUCGGCUCAACUGAGGACGUUGCGGAAGAAACUGGCAGGGCUGGAGGUCCGGGAGAGGAGGGUGGAAUUCCCAGUGAUGAGCGGUGAAAUGCGUAGAUAUUGGGAGGAACACCGGUGGCGAAGGCGGCCCUC
rnacentral:rRNA from 1 species